GACCAUGGUUCUUGUUGCAUCUUACUCACUUAGGUCAGCACAUUUCCUGAUUGACUUCUGGAUCAAUCUGAAACUUGGAUGUUUAGUUUCUUGCUUUUUCUCAUUACAGUCGUUUUCCUGUCAGAUGAGAUCUCACAUUAGUUCCGAGUUCCAUCCGAGAGACAUAGGACGAUUUUUAAAUUAUGAUGUUUUGGACCGUCUGAUGUCAAGGUUUUAGUUGCCCCAACUCUAUUUGGCAUACAUCAACCUUCCAACCGAGAUGUUAUUGUAUUAUUAUUUGAGGGUGUUGAAUUCAGUGGCCAUAUUCUUAUUGUUUCCUUCAAAUAUUGUAUUUGCCAAGAACCUG
rnacentral:lncRNA from 1 species